GAUUAAAGUUUCUUCUGAAGCUAUUACAAACUCAAGUCACUGAGUUGCUUUCCUACUAGUUUUUUAUUGCCAACUGGAAUUCUGCACUGUGUUGCAGAGUCGGGGGUGGGGGAGUGUGGAAUUGUUCCCUUACUACCUGCUGCUCUGUCAACUGAAAUUGAUCAAAGCUAUAACAAAAACAUUUCUAGAAAUCAUUUGAAUGCGGUUGGGAAAACUCUGGGAAUGGAGUCAAAAGAAGGUAUAUUUUGGAGUAUGUUUUCAGGUCUAAAAUUCUUUGCCAGAAAUGUUCUUUAAUGGAAUCUCCAGACUGAGUAGGAAAACAGGGCAUACUAUUUUUUGAAAGGAAUGAGCAGGAAUGAAAUAAAUGCAGUCCAAAGGGAAUGCAAAACAUGCAAGUUGAGGAUACUUUGCUUUAGGACAAACCCUCCAAAGGGAAACCUUUCAGCAAGAGUGUUAACCUAAGUGCAUGCAAUGCAGGUUUGUAUUACUGAAAACUGGGAGUGGCCGUUGCGGACGCGCUGGUUUCUCAGAGGCACUGUCACGGAGGUUCAAACGAGAAGGCCUUGUCUGGCCCCAGGAAGCACCCAGGUGCCUCGUCCCUCCAUUUCCCCAUCUCCAGCAGGGCGCUCCCAGGGCGGGCUCCAGGCCUGCCCCAUGCGCCUGCGCACGAGCCUUGAGGCAGGCGGGGUUCCAGCGCGCCGAGGCCGCCCUCAACCGCUCAGAGCGUCUGUUGCUGGCGGUUCAUGGCGGGGAGACUAGCAGCGCGAGAGCAAAGGGCGGUUACCAACGGCCUUCGCUCUCAUGGCGUCCUUCUUGGUGUUACCUAAAAAUAAAGCCAAGUGUGAUUAGAAGGACUGAAACCUCAGACACAGGGAGCUGGCCUAUUCACCUUAGAAUCCUCUGGGGCACCCACUACAGUGUCUGCAGCAAGGAGUCAAUAAAGAACCGGGGAACAGACUGGAGCAGAAGGACCACCCAGCAGAGCCAAGCCAAAUCACUGACCCUCAGAGACCUGAUGUGAAUGCUUAUGGUUUCAGUCCACUGGAUUCUGCAGUAAUCUGCCGAUCUGCAAUAUUACCACAGUAAAUAAUGGAUAGACCUGAAAAUGAACGUGUACCUCAUGCCAAAAUUGCAGAUACCCUGUGAGCAGGAAACCUCAGCAGUAGAAACAAUUUUAUAUGAGGGAAUGUACUCUCUCCUUUGCAUUUUUCCUCAAAUCUGUAUUUUUAGUCCCUCACUUGUCUCUACAGAGACAAGUCUCUACAGAGACAA
rnacentral:lncRNA from 1 species